AUGGUGGCCGAGCUCGGUCCGGGCAGGUUCUACGGCGGCGUGCUCCCGCGGCCGCGCGUGUUCCCCGGCGGCGACCGCGCCGACCCGCCGGCGCUCCUCUCCUGGGCGCGCGAGGCGCAGUGGUCCACGGGCGCGCGAGGCAGUAGGCGCCUCCGUCUCCAGGGCCGCAUCGAGGGCAGCCUCGGCAGGCUCCGCCGCGCCGACGCGCUCGGCUCCGACGACGACGACGAGGACAAGGACGAGGAGGAGGGGGCCGUCGCGGCCCAGGAGCGCGAGGCCGUCGACGGUAAGGAGUCGGAGGAGGACGAGGAGGAGUCCGGCGAGUCGGACGAGGACUCCCCGGACUCCGGCGAGUCGGAGGAGGUGGCGCUCGUGACUCCGGCAAGGGGGCUGCGGAGGAAGAAGGCUGUCGCGGCGGCUUCUGCUCCUUCUGCCAAGGCAUCGGCGAAGGCGUCCCCACAGAGGAAGGCCGCGGCGGCUGCGCUAACGGCGAGGACGCCAUCGACGAGGAAGAGGAAGGCCGCCGAGGCACCGGCCGCAAGGAGGAGGACCUCCCCGCGGCGCAUGCGCUAA
rnacentral:rRNA from 1 species